rnacentral:lncRNA from 1 species
AUGUAUAAACAGGAUCUAAUCAUGUGCAUCUCAUGUAACAUAGAUCUAAACAUGAUCAUAUCAUAACUUACAUCUCAUAUACCACAUAAGUAUCAGAUUUUAAUCUUAUACAUCAUAAAAAUCAGAUAUAAAAAUUUUGAUUAAUAUGUUAUCAAAUAACGUUCAACGAUCGCUCUAAAAUAAAUUUUGAUCAGAACAAUCUUGAACUUUAAUAAAAAAAAUUUAGAUCUAUUAAAUCUGAUUUUCAUAUCCUAAUCUAAUGCAUGUGAAACGACC